AUUGAAUUUCAUUAGUUCUCUCCGCGCGGAGCUAGACGGAUGUUGCUGACCUACUUGCGAUCUCGACGGAUCACGCGCAGCAGUUUAAAUUGUUUGUCGGAUGUUUUUGUUCUUUAUAUAGACGGAGAACUGAUAAGUUCGUG
rnacentral:pre_miRNA from 1 species